AACGAACGCUGGCGGCAUGCCUAACACAUGCAAGUCGAACGAGACCUUCGGGUCUAGUGGCGCACGGGUGCGUAACGCGUGGGAACCUGCCCUUAGGUUCGGAAUAACUCCCCGAAAGGGGUGCUAAUACCGGAUAAUGUCUUCGGACCAAAGAUUUAUCGCCUUUGGAUGGGCCCGCGUUGGAUUAGCUAGUUGGUAGGGUAAAAGCCUACCAAGGCGACGAUCCAUAGCUGGUCUGAGAGGAUGAUCAGCCACACUGGGACUGAGACACGGCCCAGACUCCGACGGGAGGCAGCAGUGGGGAAUAUUGGACAAGGGGCGAAAGCCUGAGCAAGCAAUGCCGCGGGAGUGAUGAAGGCCUUAGGGUUGUAAAGCUCUUUGACCCGGGAUGAUAAUGACAGUACCGGGAGAAUAAGCGCCGGCUAACUCCGUG
rnacentral:rRNA from 1 species